AGAUUGAACGCUGGCGGCAUGCCUUACACAUGCAAGUCGAACGGUAGAGUAGCAAUACUUGAGAGUGGCGAACGGGUGAGUAAUAUAUCGGAACGUGCCCAGUCGUGGGGGAUAACGUAGAGAAAUUUACGCUAAUACCGCAUACGAUCUAAGGAUGAAAGCGGGGGACUCGCAAGAGCCUCGCGCGAUUGGAGCGGCUGAUAUCAGAUUAGGUUGUUGGUGAGGUAAAAGCUCACCAAGCCGACGAUCUGUAGCUGGUUUGAGAGAACGACCAGCCACACCGGGACUGAGACACGGCCCAGACUCCUACGGGAGGCAGCAGUGGGGAAUUUUGGACAAUGGGCGAAAGCCUGAUCCAGCAAUGCCGCGUGCAGGAAGAAGGCCUUCGGUUGUAAACUGCUUUUUGUACGGAACGAAACGGUCUGCUUUAAUACAGCGGAACUAAUGACGGUACCGUAAGAAUAAGCACCGCUAACUACGUGCCAGCAGCCG
rnacentral:rRNA from 1 species